UGAAGUAAGUAAGGGCGUACGGUGAAUGCCUUGGUGCCAACAGGCGAAGAAGGACGCGGCAAGCUGCGAAAAGCCUCGGGAAGCUGCAAGCAAGCGAUGAUCCGGGGAUAUCCGAAUGGGGUAACCUGAUCGAGGCAAUACUCGAUCGUUCAUACCUGAAUACAUAGGGUAUGAAACGCGAAACCCGCUGAAGUGAAACAUCUCAGUAAGCGGAGGAAAAGAAAGAGAAAUCGAUUCCGUAAGUAGUGGCGAGCGAAAGCGGAUGGAGCCCAAACCGAAGGUAUUCCUUCGGGGUUGUAGGACCACGUCAUAUUCGACCAUACUGGAUAGUAGAACAGCCUGGAAAGGCUGGCCGGAGAAGGUGAAAGCCCUGUAGACGAAAUCCAGAGUGGGAAUUAGUGGUAUCCUGAGUAAUACAUCACACGUGGAACGAUGUAUGAACCCGCGCGGACCACCGCGCAAGGCUAAAUACUAGUUGGCGACCGAUAGUGAACAAGUACCGCGAGGGAAAGGUGAAAAGAACCGCUGUGAGCGGAGUGAAAUAGAACCUGAAACCGUAUGUCUACAAAGUGUCAGAGCAGAGCAAUCUGCGAUGGCGUGCCUUUUGUUUAAUGAGUCUGCGAGUCAGUGUUUGUGGCAAGACUAAGGGCUUCCGGCCCGGAGUCGCAGCGAAAGCAAGUCCGAACAGGGCGCAAUAAGUCGCAGGUACUGGACCCGAAGCGGAGGUGACCUACCCUUGGCCAGGUUGAAGCAUGGGUAAAACCAUGUGGAGGACCGAACAGGUGAACGUUGAAAAGUUCUCUGAUGAGCUGAGGGUAGGAGUGAAAGGCUAAUCAAACCCCGUGAUAGCUGGUUCUCUUCGAAAUGCAUUUAGGUGCAGCGUCACGUGCUGAUGCGCGGGGGUAGAGCACUGACAAGGCUAGGGGGCACACCCGCUUACCAAACCUUAUCAAACUCCGAAUACCGUGCAAUGGAACGUGGCAGUGAGACAGUGGGGGAUAAGCUUCAUUGUCGAGAGGGAAACAACCCAGACCAGCAGCUAAGGUGCCUAAAUAACGCUCAGUGGAAAGGAUGUGGGAUUACACAGACAGUGAGGAUGUUGGCUUAGAAGCAGCCACCAUUUAAAAAAUGCGUAAUAGCUUACUCAUCGAGUGAUCCUGCGCCGAAAAUGAUUGGCGAUCAAGCGUUAUACCGAAGCUCUGGACUUUGCCGCAAGGCAGAGUGGUAGAAGAGCGUUGCAUGCGCGUCGAAGGGCGAUGGCGACUGACCCUGGAGCACAUGCAAGUGAGUAUGCAGACAUGAGUAACGUUAAGCCGGGUGAAAUCCCCGGCCGCCGUAAACCCGAGGUUUCCAGGGCAACGUGUUUCGUCCCUGGGUUAGCCGGGACCUAAGCCGAGGCCGAGAGGCGUAGGCGAUGGACAUCAGGUUAAUAAUCCUGAGCUCGCAACCCUUAAACUGGGGGGACGCAUGAGAAAAGAUGACUAGGUUAUUGAAUUCCGAGUUGAGUCUACGGACUCAGCGCAUCAUUGGAUCGAGUGCCAAGAAAAGCCCCAGCGUAUGCUAAGCGACCCGUACCGCAAACCGACACAGGUGGGUGGGUAGAAUAUACCAAGGCGUAAGAGUGAAACCUGGUUAAGGAACUCGGCAAAUUAGCCCCGUAACUUCGGAAGAAGGGGUGCCUGCAGCGAUGCAGGCCGCAGAGAAAUGGCCCAACCGACUGUUUAUCAAAAACACAGCACUCUGCAAAGACGCAAGUCGAAGUAUAGGGUGUGACACGUGACCAAUGCCGAAAGAUUAAGGCAAGGGGUUAGCCGCAAGGCGAAGCUCUAAACCCAAGUCCCGGUGAAUGUCGGCCGUAACUAUAACGGUCCUAAGGUAGCGAAAUUCCUUGUCGGGUAAGUUCCGACCUGCACGAAUCGUGAAACGAGUUGGGCACUGUCUCAACCAGGCGCUCAGUGAAAUUGUAGUGGCGGUGAAGAUGCCGCCUACCCGCAGAAGGACGGAAAGACCCUAUAGACCUUAACUGUAAGCUGUCAUUGUUUCUUCGGUUUUAAUGCUCAGAGUAAGUGGGAGACGCUGAAGACGCCCUUUAGGGGGCGUCCGAGUCAUCAAUGAGACACCACCCUUUGAAACUGGAGGAUCUAACCCUGAGCCGUGAAUCCGGCCAGAGGACCGUGUCAGCCGGUCAGUUUUACUGGGGCGGUAUCCUCCCAAAGAGUAACGGAGGAGCGCGAAGGUGGGCUCAGCCCGGUUGGCAACCGGGUGUCGAGUGCAUGGGCAUAAGCCCGCCUAACUGUGAGACCAACAAGUCGAGCAGAUGCGAAAGCAGGCCCAAGUGAUCCGGCGGUAGAAAGUGGAAUUGCCGUCGCUCAACGGAUAAAAGGUACCUUAGGGAUAACAGGCUGAUCACGCCCAAGAGUUCAUAUCGACGGCGUGGUUUGGCACCUCGAUGUCGGCUCGUCGCAUCCUGGGGCU
rnacentral:rRNA from 1 species